GGAAAGGCAGCCCCAGAAGAACAUGUUUCUGGUGACUGGGAAGCUUUGAGCAGACCUACAGCCCUGGCAUAACGAUGAGCCUCCUGCACAGGCAGCGGCGGCCGACAGCCAGGCAGGAGGAGGGCGGAGGAGCGGCGCACAGCCUCCACCAGAGCAUCUGGGGGCUCAAGCCGCCAGAGAGCCCUGGAGACUAGAUGUACUGAUUCAUUUCCCAUUUUUACCUCAUUCCCCUCACGGAUUUGGUCCAGCAGAGUUAGAUGGCGCUGGUACCUUUUCCCUCCAUGACCUUUAAAGCUUAGACUGAUGGCCUCACAGAUAUUUUUCUUCGGGGACAAAGGAUGAGGAUUUUCCAUCCCGAACAACAUGAAGCAAAUGCGCAUGGAUCUCCUGAUUUUUCAUUCAGACAGUGAUUACAGAGUAAACAGCACUGGGUCAGAUCAGCGUGCACGGUCAAUGUGGCCUGCAUAUGGUGACUAUCCCUCCCUGCACCGUGUGGCAGCCACAUUGUCCUGACCCACUGGGAAGCUUGUCACUUCCAGAGCGGCCCAGGAGAUGCAUGUCGACCAUCCCCACUUCAGGCUCCCACGUGGCAGGCUGCAGACCCCUGGCCAGGCUUUUUUUCUGAAACCUUUAGUGGAUUUUCCUUGAGGAUGACCGACAGAAUGAUGGUGAUGUAUUCUAGUCUCAUGGUCAGGCCUGCAAUCACAUUUCGAAGCAGCCUCCAGAUCCCUGCUCAGCAUUCUGUGACUGACGCGGGUGGAGGCAUUACAGUCCAGACAGAGUCAGUGCUAAUCAGAACAGGAUGCCCUUUAGCUUCCUCGGGAAAGCUUUAUCUCUUUAGCAGGAGCUAUCUGCAUUUUUAAAGCCACAGCCUGUUGGAAAGAGCUCCGAACCACAAAAAUGUACAGCAGGGGUAAGCAGAGUUCCUAGCCAUUAACCACCUCCAGGCAGUUAAUCAUUUCAGUUUAGAAGAACCCACGUUCGCUUCAAGAGCAAGUAUAUUCUGUUGGAAACCUACUAUGUUGGGCUCUUUCGAAAGCUAGUUCUGAUUCUCACAAUGCCCUGCUGAGCGGACGGGAGUCCCCCGUUGUAUGGACAAGCAGAUGAAGCUCAAUGAAUUAGUUGACUGCUCUAAGGUCUCAUGGUUGAUCUUGGGCACAGCUGGGGUUCGAAGCCCGUUCUUUCUGGCUCAGAGUCCUGUGCUCUUCUCAGCAGGAUGUGACGCUACCUCCCCCACUGCCAUUUUUCUGUGUGAUUAUAUGGGACCCAAGCUCCAGGUAAAUCUGAUUGUUAAGAAAAAGCCCCAAUAUACACAGAGGCACAAGAAAAAGGAAUAGAUCUCACCCUGUUGGUGAAGCCAAUGCGUGAACCUAAUGUGCAGAAAGACACCACUGACGUCUUCCCGGGCCCCUGCCUCGCAUCCUUGCCUUGCUGACUAUUUGGCCCUGGCCUAGAAAAUACAGUGCUCAUUCUCAGACGUGUAUGUGCAAGUGUUUGUCUCUCCAGCCAAGCUGUCCUCAGGUCCUUAGCCGUCUGCGUGUUCCCCAGCUCUCUACAAACAGCUAUCCUGGAAUAGCUAAAACUGAGAUUUUAAUAAUGUGUGCUUAAAGCAUUUAUGCUAAAAAAAACUUGCCAGUUCUGGCCAUUUCCAGUAACAAUAUGUGCUCUCAUCACUGCUAAGAGUCUGGCAAUGAGCAGAUGAUGCUACUGAAAGCAAGUGAAGACAGUGAGACAGGGCUCAAUCCAUGCCAUGCCUCUGAGAGCCUAGGAGUCAUGGCACAGCGCCAAGAAUACCCCUUCAACAUGACAAGCAGGACUCAGUUUCCCCCUUUUGAGCAUAUCAAGGAAAAACAUAUGUAAGGGCCUGCGCAGUGACUCACGACUGCAAUCCCAGCACUUUGGGAGGCCGAGGCGGAAGGAUUGCUUGAGGCCAGGGUUUGAGACCAGCCUGGGCAGUACAGCUGGACCCUGUCUGUACAAAAAAUUUAAAAAAAUAAAUA
rnacentral:lncRNA from 10 species